UGGGGAAUCUUGCGCAAUGCGCGAAAGCGUGACGCAGCAACGCCGCGUGAGGGAAGACGGCCUUCGGGUUGUAAACCUCUUUCAGGAGGGACGAAGGUUCGCCGGUGAAUAGCCGUGCGGAUUGACGGUACCUCCAGAAGAAGCUCCGGCUAACUACGUGCCAGCAGCCGCGGUAAUACGUAGGGGGCUAGCGUUGUCCGGAAUCAUUGGGCGUAAAGCGCGCGUAGGCGGCCCGGUAAGUCCGUUGUGAAAGUCAAAGGCUCAACCUUUGAAAGCCGAUGGAUACUGCCGGGCUAGAGUCCGGAAGAGGCGAGUGGAAUUCCUGGUGUAGCGGUGGAAUGCGCAGAUAUCAGGAGGAACACCAAUAGCGAAGGCAGCUCGCUGGGACGGUACUGACGCUAAGGCGCGAAAGCGUGGGGAGCGAACAGG
rnacentral:rRNA from 1 species